rnacentral:rRNA from 1 species
CAGCAGCCGCGGUAAUACGGAGGGUGCAAGCGUUAAUCGGAAUUACUGGGCGUAAAGCGCACGCAGGCGGUCUGACAAGUCAGAUGUGAAAUCCCCGGGCUUAACCUGGGAACUGCAUUUGAAACUGUCAGGCUGGAGUCUUGUAGAGGGGGGUGGAAUUCCAGGUGUAGCGGUGAAAUGCGUAGAGAUCUGGAGGAAUACCGGUGGCGAAGACGGCCCCCUGGACAAAGACUGACGCUCAGGUGCGAAAGCGUGGGGAGCAAACAGGAUUAGAUACCCGUGUAGUCCCUGUCUCUUAUAC